GUUUGGUGCCAUUAUUAGAGAUAAUGGUAGCUUUAUUUGGUGGGAUGAAUCAUCAUGAACUAGCAUUCAUGUUUCUUCAUUAUCUCUCUCAUUUCUAAACGAAAUUUCGAGAUUCCAAAUCCUCUGAACUCCUAGAACAUUUCUAAGUGUGGACUAAUUAGAGGCAUCACAAUUGGGGUGCUUUAAGGAUCUCAGAUCGUGGCAAAACAGAAGCUGUUCGUGCAGAGCUCUAUUUUCUGGACAGUGUUCGUAGCUUGCUGUUUUCAGUCGUUUUCUCCUACCUCACGAAGUCGUUUUCGAAACUGCAAGUGAGGUAAUUAAACUUCAAUCUUUCUUCUUGAUUUUCGUUUUUGAAUGAAGCCGAUCCGAGGUUUCUAGAGCUUCCGCCGUCCGUUUUAAUUUUACUGCACAAAAGUUGCGAUUUUAGGAACCUCAUGGACAAAUGUUGUCCUUCAUCUCAUUCACCCACAAACACUCACACUCCGAAAAAAUAGGUUUUUUUCAAACUUAAACCUUGAUUUACAGAGGGCUGGCCAGCUCUCUUUACCACAAAAAGCUUGAGUUUGUUAACUUGAGCGUCAGAGUGUGAACACCAGGGUACCCUGGCUUCACCUCUAAACUUUAUUUUACUAUUUUGCAGGCGUGAAGCUCAUUUUGAAGGACAUCUCUCUUGGUUCUGACCUUUCACCAUUGUUACCAUUCCCUCUCCCCUUUUCGCCUUCCCCGAACUUCAGAUACACCGCACCGCACACAACAAACCAGUGAGGUAUCUCGUCUCCCCCAAAAAUAAAAAUUCAUUGUUUUAGAUAGGUUUACCUUCUUCUACCCCCAAAAUCUAACGAAAACAAGAUGAAUAAGAAAGGAGUGUAUUAUGAAAUUUCUAAAAUGUAUUAUAUGUGAAUGGUCAUUACAAGAAAAAUGAUAUUUACCACGAAAUUCAGUUAAACUGAAUAUACCGAGUUUUAUUUUUUCUAGGCGAUGACACAUCUACUAAUGUAAGCAAUGGGUCAUCGCCGAAAGAGAGCUGGUGGGCCAUCGGCCCUUCAAUUUUGGUUGGAUUUUAAUGGAAAAUAUUAAUUCCGGUAGUUUUAAGAGAUAGAAUUUCAAGCGAAAUAUCGAUGUUGUUAUUGCAACAAACUCUAGCGCAAAAUAAAUUAUCUGUCUAAGGAUCGUGCUAAUAUAAAUUGAAGACAUGAAAAUACACCGAAAACAUGCCAUGUAAUGUCAAGACUAUGAACAUUCAACAAGCUACAUAUCCUCCUAUUCUCAGACUGGAAUAAGACUUUCUUUUGAAAAAUGAACUGAAAACCAUAAACCAGUAAUUCCAAGAUUCCUUACUUGUUCGUAUUUGGAAUCAUGUAGGACCAAUCGACGAUCCCCAAUUGAUGGAUAUAAUACAUCAUUUCUCCAAAAUCCAAUUGGUUUAUACCCUUCCUAAAAAGGGUCCAAAAGUCAUGUGUUUGGUCCAAAAACCCCUUUCAUGAUCCAUGUGCCAAAAGAGUGUCCCGACUCUUCUACGUGUAGUAGAGAGAGAGGCAAUCAUCGUGUAUUCCAAUCGUUCAAUUGGUCUCUUCUUCUGUUGUAAUUUGAGGAACUGGAGGUCCUUUCAUUUCAUGAAAAUAAUCACAAAAUCGUAAGGAUUUUUUUCCCAAUGCCACCCAAUAACAAAAUCCCUUCUGGUAGACAUUGUUCAUAUCUUCGCCCCCUAAAUAACAUUCCAAUGGGAAUAACCUUUCCUCCACAUCUCUCCAAGACUUAGUGCUAAAGUUGUAAACCUCAAUAAUAGGGAAGCCAUCAUUGAUCGAUAGCAUUCCUCUCUCGUCCUGCAAGGUUUGUGUCAUGACCAACUUGAAAUCAUUCGUCGUGGGAUCUAAUCCAUCUGCAAAAUUACUAACGAAAAUUCUUGUAUUGCAGGAAAGACUACCACUAAUGCCAUCUCUAGGUUAGGCGGCUUUGGAAGAAUUCUGUACUCAUUCAAGGAAACAUUCCAUAAAUUAAUUGGGUUAAGGUUCCAUUGUUUGGAAAGGCAAAAUAUGUCCUCACAAAGGCCAAAUGGAAUAUGAUCCCUCAUUUCUGCUUCAAGAUAUUGGGAACGCAAUUAUGUCAAUGUCUAAUCAGGCGCUACAACUAAAUCGUCAACAUAAUAUCCAAUGUAGAUCAUGAGACGCUUAUGGUCGUCUCUAUUGAGAUGCUUACAAAUGAAAUUAGGGUCUUUCACUAAACUAAACCAAGAUUUUGAAACACACAUAAAUCGCAUUAGUGAUUUAACGGGCAACCUUGAGAGAGUCUCAACCAGCAGAUCCUCAGUCAAUUCUCCAUAAUUAUAGCCUGUCAUCACCAUUAAAUCUCUCUCCACUUUUUUUUCCUUAACCCAAAUCAAUGCCUUAUCCUGCCAAAAUUAUAAAUAAAUUGGAUCGACUAUUUUUAAGAAUUAACAGGGCUAGAUUUUAGUUGCAGGUAUUUCAUGGGUGGGCAAUAACUUCGCAGUUAAUAACAAUUUGACUUUUCGAAAAUAUUAAUUACUUGGAAAAUUUAAGGCCACCUAAAAUACUUUCAGCACCCACUUUUUCAAAAAUAAUUUUUUUUUCAUCAAAAUGCACAUCUUAAUAUACUAAAAAUUAAAUUAAGCACAUGAUAAUAUUAUUAAAUAUAAUAUCUAGUAUCCAUCUCCUGUCACUACAGACAAGAGCCUGCCGACAUGUUCAUCCUUGCCUAACCCUAUAUAAUUUUUCGUAACAUUAAUGAAAUUUAAUUCACCAUAAAGAUUAUUAUUCCACACACACAAAUUAAUGAAAGAAAUAAUUAACAUAUACCUGUUUAAGAAAAUCGGAAUAAUUUGAUGGAAUAUAUAUAUGUUGAGCUAAAAUUUGCAUUAACGUAUAUAUAGAAUGCGAACUUGCAGCUAUGGAAUUCAUGAUACCCAGAAACGGUAACUAACUAAUUAAGCUAUAUUUUGCUUAGAAUUAAUUAGUUCGGGGAGGAACGUCAAACAUGAUAUCAAAAUAGCAGCGAUCUUUUUGUUUAGCGCAUUGAAUGAAACUUUGUGCUUGGUCAUCAACACAUAUAAUCACCUCCUUUAAAUGAGAAAUACCGUCAUCUCCUUUAACGCAUUUAAGUAGUGGAUCGUGACCGGUUUUGUUCUUUAUAGCCGCCUUGUAAUCUCUUUUAUUGUAACUGCCACCGUCUGGCAAUAUAGGAACUGCUCCGUGAUUUUGAAGAGUAUUCCGUAGGUCUGUAUCCUUUGCUAGUUGCAAAGCCAUUUGGAAAUAAUCGCGUGGCUGGAUGAAUUCUUUAGCAGCACUACCAUGUUUUUUCCACUGAUAGAUCCAAAAAUUUUCCGCUCUACUUAAAUUGUUUUCGUUGAGAGGUAGCCAAUAGCGCAUCAAAUCUUUCCGAAGGGGUUUAAUCUUCAUAAGUAGUAAUAAUUAAUUAAUAGAUAAUAUAUACAAUACUCAUGUGCAAACGUCUUCAUUUUUUUUUAAUGCGGACACGGUUUUAAACCGUGUGGUUUUAUGCAUUAAAAACUAACUCUUUUAAAUCUCAUGGCUUAAAAGCGUAUCCGCAUGUCCGCAUGAAAAAAAUAAGAACACCCACAUUAGAGAAAAAUUCUCUCUCUCUCUAUAUAUAUAGACACACACAUAUAAAUACAAGUGGUGGGAUCGGAUCAUGAUGGAAAUUAAUAAAAAAAAUGAGAUGCAAACAACAGGCAGGGUGGGGAAGUAUGUACCGAUGGACGAAUGCUGGGGUCUCCCUUGCCGGCCGUACCUGGUAAUGUUUUGUCAACG
rnacentral:lncRNA from 1 species